rnacentral:rRNA from 1 species
CUACGACGGGUACGGGUUGUGAGAGCAAGAGCCCGGAGAUGGAUUCUGAGACACGAAUCCAGGCCCUACGGGGUGCAGCAGGCGCGAAAACUUUACAAUGCUGGCAACAGCGAUAAGGGAACCUCGAGUGCCAGGUUACAAAUCUGGCUGUCGAGAUGCCUAAAAAGCAUUUCAUAGCAAGGGCCGGGCAAGACCGGUGCCAGCCGCCGCGGUAACACCGGCGGCUCGAGUGGUAACCGUUAUUAUUGGGUCUAAAGGGUCUGUAGCCGGCCGGAUAAGUCUCUUGAGAAAUCUGGCAGCUUAACUGUCAGGCUUUCAGGAGAUACUGUCUGGCUCGAGGCCGGGAGAGGUGAGAGGUACUUCAGGGGUAGGGGUGAAAUCUUGUAAUCCUUGAAGGACCACCAGUGGCGAAGGCGUCUCACCAGAACGGACCUGACGGCAAGGGACGAAAGCUAGGGGCACGAACCGGAUUAGAUACCCGGGUAGUCCUAGCCGUAAACGAUACUCGCUAGGUGUCGGCCACGGUGCGACCGUUGUCGGUGCCGUAGGGAAGCCGUGAAGCGAGC